rnacentral:rRNA from 1 species
UUAGAGUUUGAUCAUGGCUCAGAAUGAACGUUGGCGGCGUGCUUAACACAUGCAAGUCGAACGAUGAAGCCUAGCUUGCUAGGUGGAUUAGUGGCGCACGGGUGAGUAAUUUAUAGAUAACGUGCCUCUUAGUCUGGGAUAGCCAUUGGAAACGAUGAUUAAUACUAGAUACUCCUUCUCAUUAUAAUUUGAGUCGGGAAAGUUUUUCGCUAAGAGAUCGGUCUAUAUCCCAUCAGCUUGUUGGUAGUGUAAGAGACUACCAAGGCUAUGACGGGUAGCGGGUUUGAGAGGAUGAUCCGCCACACUGGUACUGAGACACGGACCAGACUCCUACGGGAGGCAGCAGUGAGGAAUAUUGCACAAUGGAGGAAACUCUGAUGCAGCAACGCCGCGUGGAGGAUGACGCAUUUCGGUGUGUAAACUCCUUUUAUAUGUCAAGAAAAUGACGGUAGCAUAUGAAUAAGCACCGGCUAACUCCGUGCCAGCAGCCGCGGUAAUACGGAGGGUGCAAGCGUUAUUCGGAAUCACUGGGCGUAAAGGACGCGUAGGCGGGAUGCCAAGUCUGAUGUGAAAUCCUAUGGCUUAACCAUAGAACUGCAUUGGAAACUGGUAACCUAGAGUAUGGGAGGGGGAGAUGGAAUUAGUGGUGUAGGGGUAAAAUCCGUAGAUAUCACUAGGAAUACCGAAAGCGAAGGCGAUUUUCCUGGAU